rnacentral:lncRNA from 1 species
GAGGGAGGGGGGGUCCUAUAACCGUUCAGACGAUGAAGAGCCGUUCAGGGUGAGGACCGGUAUAUCACCUUCGGCAUCUUAAGGAUGCUUUCCAUCAAACUAGGGCUCCCAUCCACUUUUUAUCAUCCACACGUCUUACAAGGGGGAAUAUUUUUUAUUGGUCUGAAUAGGAAAGUGCAGCGAAGCUGCCUUGUACCCAGAAGGGCAGGGCAUCUGAACCAGAUUUUGGGGGUGGGAGUUUUGGGUGACAUUUGGGGGCGGCGUUUUAAUUUUAGCC